AUUGAACGCUGGCGGCAGGCCUAACACAUGCAAGUCGAGCGGAGAGGCGGACGGGUGCGAAAUGCCAAGGAAUCUGCCUGGUAGUGGGGGAUAACGACCGGAACCGGGCGCUAAUACCGCAACCUAUUAGAUGAGCCUAGGCCCGAUUAGCUAGUUGGGGGGGUAAAGGCAUACCAAGGCGACGAUCCGUAGCUGGUCUGAGAGGAUGAGCAGUCACACUGGAACUGAGAAACGGUCCAGACUCCUACGGUAGGCAGCAGGGGGGAAUAUUGGACAAUGGGCGAAAGCCUGAUCCAGCCAUGCCGCGUGUGUGAAGAAGGGCUUCGGAUUGUAAAGCACUUUAAGUUGGGAGGCGUUACCCGCAGAAUAAGCACCGGCUAACUCCGUGCCAGCAGCAGCGGUAAUUC
rnacentral:rRNA from 1 species